UCCUACGGGACGCAGCAGUGGGGGAUAUUGCACAAUGGGGGGAACCCUGAUGCAGCGACGCCGCGUGGGUGAAGGAGCGUUUCGGCGCGUAAAGCCCUAUCGGCAGGGAAGAAGGAGGACGGUACCUGACUAAGAAGCCCCGGCUAACUACGUGCCAGCAGCCGCGGUAAUACGUAGGGGGCAAGCGUUAUCCGGAUUUACUGGGUGUAAAGGGUGCGUAGACGGUGCGCCAAGUCUGGAGUGAAAUGCCGCAGCUUAACUGCGGAACUGCUUUGGAAACUGGCGAACUAGAGUGCGGG
rnacentral:rRNA from 1 species